UGGUCUUGACUUUGAGGUGUUAACAAAAGCAGCUUAGUUUAACUUCUCUCAGAGGUAAGCGUAAACAAGAGAUACUUUCUUCUGAAUUGCAAGUCAGUGGCAUGUUGUCAUGUAAUGUCCGUGGGCUAGUCAUGCCAGAGUUUCACUGUUGGGUCUGAGUUUCAGGCUUGCGCUUUCCAUCCCCACCCCCAUAUUCUGAGUCCUUCUCUAAUUUCAAAGUUCAAACAAACCAUAGUUUGCCAUUACAUCUGAAGCUGCAAGUUAUGGUUUGUGCUUGCUAUGCAAGGGGCUGGUGCCAGGCCGCAGCAAGCCCUAGCAGGCAGAUAUAUAUUGUCAGGAUCCACCCUUUAUCUGUAGACUUCUCACUCUAGCGGGUCCAUGAAUUAAAUUCAUUACAAGGAAAUGUUAUUGCUUAUACUUUUCCCACAACAGGAGGCACAGCCAUGUCUUUGAAAAUGGUUAGAUUUACUAAUGCUUUGUUUACUCAGCUACUCAUCUGUGAAUUUGUUUCUCCUUUCCUCUCUUGUUGAAAUUCUCUCUUCAAUGUAAUGGCUUUGGGGGAAAGACAUUGAAAGACUCUCUCCAACAUCUCCUGGUGGAAAAGGAGAGCAGUUCAUUACAAAAAACCCAUUCUGCUGGAGUAGUGACAUCUGCAAGUGCAGAGUGUUGUAUUAUCCACGAUUACACAUCUGACCCUCUGGAACCAGAAAAUUAAUAGCGCCGGCGAAGCUGAUUCUGUGUCACCAUUCUAACUGGUAUCAAAACAAAUAGCAUCCAAUAUGGUAUGUGAGUUGCCUUGGCUGUCUACGGUGCUUUAAUUAUACUGAGUCUGCGUCUGGACCUUAUUUUGGGGGUCCCUAGACCAUUUAGUUUAGCAACUAAUCUAUCACCAGCAUGCUCUAGUUAACUCUGAUUUGUUGUUAUUUGAAAGACCCAGGGAGAGCAGGGCCAGACAAGGACUGGCUUUCAUUAUUAUCAGGCUCAAGGUGCACUGGUGCCAAGGUAAUCUUGGCACAAGAAGGGAUGUAAUUUAGAAAGACCAUUUGCAUCCCAAAAAUCAGAUCCAAACCAACACCAAACUCGUAGGCUGCCUCCUUGUACUCCUGCCUGCUGUUGCUAUAGGAUUUCCCUCUUCCCCUUUGAUUCUCUUCCCUGUUCUCCUACCAGCUUCCAGCUGAUGAUUUAUGCCACCAUUAACCCUAUGAAUAGGAAUCCCACGGUGAUGACAUUUUUACAUUCUGUGUAAUUGAAUGAAAAUGGAGGCGCUCUCAUGUUUCAUCGAGACCUCAUAUUUGUGCUGAGCUCACUUCAUAUAGGAAUCUUAAUUUGAAAUGUGUUUUAUGUCCUGGAGGAGAUCCAGACACAUUAAAAGGUAAUCACAAGCUUCAUUAUGAUGUGGCUGGAGCAGAUUCAAAGGGCAGCUACCGAAAAUGAUAACAGAACCAAAAAAGUAGAUUUCUGUGAGAGGUAAGAUGAAGAAACUGGAUUUCUUUAUCCUGGGAAUUAAGAUGCAGGAGAAAUAUGACAACUUUCAGCUACCUCCAAGGGAUUAGAAUGUAGGAGCAUAGGAAGUUGGGUCAGGUCACUGGUAUAUCUAGCUUAGUAUUGUCUAUAAUGACUGGCAGUGACCAGCGUUUGAAACUCCCAUUGUUCUAGGUGCGUUUUGCGACAGAGAAUUUCAUUAAUGUGAGCAGUUUCUGAGCUCUGGGUGCAGUACUGAGCCUAAGGUUUCAGAUUAAAACUGCCACUGCUGGAAGGAAAGGACCUUUUUCUGCCUCCCUACUUCCAGCCACUCUCUGAAGACUGGAGAAGGGACCCUCAUAAGAAUAUUAGAGGGGAGGGCAGGGGGGGUAUGGCUUUGUUUUUUGCAGUCUUCAGAUGAGGACUAGACCAUGUGAAAAGUGAACAUAAGAUUUUAGCUGCAGUUCAUUCAUUUUCAGCUUUGUAUCCUUGUUAUAAAGAAAGCACACCUAGAAACUCCAUUGCGGUGCCCAUAACUCAGGUUUAAUGUGCCAUUUAGCUCCUAGCUUUCAUAUCUCAGUUUCUAACACUGCCAGUGACUCUCCAGGAUUUCUUGAUGGUACUCACCUAGGAGUAAACACAUCGAAUACAGUGGGGCAUCCAAGUAAACAUGGCUAGAAAUGUGCUGUAAGGUAAGGUUACCAGAUUUUUUUCAAUGCAUCUGGGGACACUUUUCAAUUUCCUACUAAAUAGAUGGAUUUUGUCAAGGGACUGGUUUGUAAAUCUGGGGCCUGUCCCCAGAAAACGGGGACAUCUUACUGUAAGGCUGCUAUCCUGUACAUGUUUAGCUGGGAGGAAGCUCCAUUAGGAGAGGGCUGCAGAGUCAUAACCUGGGGCAUAAAAGGUUUUAGGGUUCCCCUCCUGCACACCCACCCCUAUUUUGUCAGUAGGGAACAUAGUGCAUUUAAGUACAUGGAAUAUGACAAAACAGAUGUGUACUUUGGUACAGAGUAUUUAAUGAAGAUACAUUGACUAAUAACCAUGAAUACUAAUUCACUAAAUAGACAAGCCAUUUGCCUAUCUGGUGAAUCAGCAUUCAUGUUUAUUAAUCAAUUAAUCUUUUCCAUCUAACCUAUUUUGCUGAAUGCAGAAUAAAUAUAUUACAAUCUCUGGUAAUUACAAAUCUCCACAGUAUCUAUAAAUGUGAUUUAUAAUCUCUAAAAUUAAGACCAGAAAUUAUCAGGCAUUUGCGCAAUUCAACCAAAUUGUUCCUUAUUACUAUAAUUAAUUAAUAAUCUAAUACUUAAACAGGUAGCCCUGCUUGAGCGACUUCUUCCUUGUUUGUAUUUGGGGAACCUAUCAUUUAAUUUGUUAAAAGAUGUUUGCCAGCAAGCAUACUUUCUGCUGAGAGCAUAAUAAAGUGCUUAAGGCUUACUUGUCCUUUGGCAGACCUUUCACAAUACUUCCCUGGGGGACAUGCAUAGACAAAGAAAGCUGGCCUGCCUUUGCUGCCCUUUGUAGCUGUGGUUGGUAGGAGAUGGCAGAGAUGCUUCAUUUGAUCCCUGACCUCGUGCUGAAUUUCAAAGAUGAAGCAUGAGGUCAUGCUGGGGUUUGGAGCUGGGACAUGUCCUGGUAACUACAAGAGGGCAUGGGCUCUAUCAGUUUUGGCUCUGGUUCUGGCUGCACACUGUUAGCUCCACCCUAAUUCAUGCAUCCCAUGAAUUCUCACUAGAAAAUGGCUUCUCUGCCUCAGCUGUACCAGUUUCUGUUUGUUCAAGGGAUGCCUACCUGAUGUAACCAAGCUAAACAUUCAUAGAGUAAUGCAUAUUUACAGAAAUACAUUUAGUUCAAGGCAAUGUAUAUAUAUUUUCUAUUGUUACACAGUCUUCUUGACUCUUUAAAAUUUGAAGCUCUUUACACAUUACUGCAUAGUCCAGAUUUGUUGGGUACAUUCUGCUGAAUAAGUGAGUGCAUAUUACAAUGGUUUAUUCAUCUGCAUCAGAUGGCUGAACUAAUACUCUCAACUCUGUAGGCCCAAAGUUUUUUCCCUUUGUCCCCAUCUUGGCCCCCUUGUAUUGGGACUCAUGUGUAUAGGUUGGACUGCCAGUAUUGCUUGCAGAUGGCCAAGAGAUGUUUAAGAGUUAGCUUGACUGGGUUCCCAAGGCCUUGCUGAGUAUGGACCUGACAAGUGUAUUCUCGAGCCAAGUGGUUUGACAUCAUGGACUGGAGGCUCAUGUGUAAGAGGCAGACCCAGCAAGGUCAGAUGGCAGGAUCCUAUAGCAGGCCUGGCCUAUCCCGAAAUGUCAUACAUUUCCCAACUGAAGAUGGUUGUGAGCCUUCAGCCCACAGGGUGCCAUUUUGUUCAUUAACAUGCAUAUUAGUAGAGUUGCCAAGUCACCAAAAAGAAACUGCCUUGCCCUGCUGUUGUUCUUUUAACAGCUUUUUAAGCUGCAGAAAUCAGCAGGUGAAGCUUUUCACGGUGUAGUGAUAAACUUUAGUAUCUGCUAAUGUCUGCACAUCAAGCUUCUCUAAAAGGCACUGCUGCUUAAACAGGAACGAAAGAAGUUGCCUUAUAAUGAAUCAGACCAUUGUUCCUCCUAGUUUUGUAUUUUCUACUCACUGACAGGCAGCCUCUCUCUAAGGUUUCAGGCAGGAGCCUUUGGCAUGCAAAACAUGUCCUCUGCCACUGAGAUAUGUGCCUCUGACAGCUUGAGAUGCCAGUCUGAAGGCAUGUGAUUACUUGUUCAAGCCCUGAAGUCCCUGGUAUAUGCCAGCAAAUACUAUGAGUAGUUUUUGUAGUUUGCGCUCAAGCCUAUCCUGAUUAAAGGUAAAGGGACCCCUGACCAUUAGGUCCAGUCGCGGACGACCCAGAAGCUGUAUGCCGGCUCCCUCGGCCAAUAAAGCGAGAUGAGCGCCGCAACCCCAGAAUCGUCCUAUCCUGAUUAGUGCCCUUCUAAUUAGGGCUGCAUAUGAGCAGUGCUGGAUCAGGGCUCUGUGCAUUGUAUGCUCUUAAAAUGUGAACCAGAUGGCAAAUGUUGAGGAAGAGGCUGUGGUCCUAAGGAUGCAUUUGAGAAUAAUGGUAGCAUUUGGGGGUCCAUUUACUCUGCCACUCAGAGAGUUUGCUGCUAGAGGAUCCAAUAGUGCUUAUGAUCCAUUUAUAUUGAUCAUGACUGAGUGUUUCACUCGCAUGUCCAAGGACCUGUAAGUUUAAAGAUCAUUUAAAAGGGAGGUGGAGUCUUUAUAAGAAUGUCAUCCAGUAAACAUUACCUUAUUUCUCUCCCCCUCCCCCUGUAUGGGUUCUGUUCUGCAUGCAUUUGAGAAUAAGGAGAGGUUUUGGAAAUGCCUGCUCAGUACUUAUGCUCAAAUGACUACUGCCUCAACUUAAAUUCAAGUGACUUGGCUUUCUGAGUAUAUAGCUCUUGUAUAUGGCUAGCUGUUCAUCAUCCUGUCAUCAGACUACAGAGUUCUAUAUUUUAUUGUAUAGUGGCCUGGUGCAUGAUUAUUCUUGUGAUUGUUUACAAUUUGAACGGCAAUAUUUUGCCAAUUUCGAGUAAGCAUUAUAGUGUUGCCUUAUUUCACAUGGCUCAAUACCUGACCCUUUAAAAAAAAUAAUUGAAAUAAUAGCUAAGAAGUACUGCAUUUGCUUUUUGAGAACCAAUAAAUAAAAGUCACACACACACACAUAACCCACCCCAAUAUUUAGGGGCUUAUUCUGAAAAAGGUUUGUAAAAAGAUUAUCCAUAAUCAUCAAACGAGUCCAUAUAAAUGAGAGAGGUGGCCAGUACUUUAGUUUUGCCUUCACACUUCCCAUUUAAUUUACAUUUAUCUCUCUCCAAACAUGUACACCCAUCAAAGCAAGAUAUACAUAUACUGCUAGAGAAAUAUGCCUGUGGCUAUAGAAGAGCUUUAUUGAUCUGUGUUACCCUUUACAGCAGGAAUGGCUCACCUUUUGGCCCAAGGCCUCAUUCAUCCUUGGACAUUUUUCUUGGGACUGCAUGCCAGUGACUAGUAGUUGAGGCCCAUAGUGCUUGUGGCCACCUCUCUCUCUCUCUCUCUCUCUCUCUCACACACACACACACACACACACACACACACACACAAACAAACAAACACACAAACACUUGUGCAUGCAUGCACCACACAUACAUUUAUUAUUGUAUGAACAAUAACACACACAGGUCACAGGUGCAAAUAUACAGAACACAACAUGACGCACACACUGUCACACCCACACAGCCUCCACCCCGCAUCUGAUCCAUGCAGAUCAACUGAGAGCAGGGUGAUUCAGCCAUUCCUGCUCCUCAGAUGACUGAACUGACAAGCGGAGAAAGUCCCCUUCUGAUCACAGCAUAUCAGAAACAGGAAGGAGCAAUCCAAUCUGUUAUGAUGUUUCCUGAGUGUCCAGUAACAUCGGAGCAGAUCAGAGCACUCCUUUCUUUUGCGGAUCUGCUCAGUUCAGGGUGGGAGUUCUGGAAGAAUGGGGUCAUUUGCCCUUGGAACUGUGCCAGACAGUGACAUGUGACUUGCAUAAUAAAUGCAGGCUACAUCAGCAAGAUUAACAAGAGCUGGUUUUAUCUCUUGGUCUCUCUUACACAACUUUUAACCUCGCAUCCAUCUUGGAACCACUCCCAAGAACACAGGCCUCGAGUACGCUCAGUUUCAACUUCUGUAUUUUUGUUGUUGUGGUGGUGGUACCAUAGAUGCCACCAUUGCUAAAACUGGGGUGAUACUGAAGUCAAAAAUAAGAGGUUGGGGGACUGGACCUAGGCUGGUAGUACAGGAUCUAGCCCACUCAUUUUGAGUUUUUGUGAGUGAUGAAAGUAUACCACCUAGGGGAAAACUCUUAUAUCUGUAUAGAAUGCAUGUCUUUUGAAAAACUGUUUUAACCAAAGGGCAUCUACAUGAUGAAAAAGAGAGGGAGAUGAAAGCCAAAGUUUUUCUCAGUAGUGGUUUUGCCUUUCCAGGAAAAUGAAAGAAGGAAUCAAGGAAUAUAAAUUAAAAUAUAUUAAGGAGUAAUCAACGGUUAAUUAAAGAUUAAUCAAGGGGACAAGCAUUAGGAAGCAUUCUGAUUUCUUUCCUCGCCAUAUAUAAUGACUGCCCGAAGGAGGAAACAAUAGGCUGGCUUGGUCUGUUGAUUAGAAGCAUAUUUCAUAAUUCUGGCUAGGUGAAUAUGGCAAUUGCCAAAUACCUUUUGGCACAAGAGGGCUCAUUUGGUGAAUAAUUCCUUCAGCAGGUAUCAUAUCAGGACCGUAAUGCUAUUCAGUGAUUUAUAUCUUCUAGUGCCGUGCCAAAACCUGCCAACUAAUUUCUUGAAAAUGUUCUUCCUCUGCAAAAGAGGCUCCUGUUUUUCUACUUCAUUCACAGGGCAUUUUAGAAUUUAUAAAAUGUACGUGGUUGAGGUUGGCUGGGUGUUGCAGGGUGACCAAGGGUGAUGUGUUUUCUUCCUUUUUAUGAAAUAUUUCUCCAGUGCUCUGCAGGGCUGCCUGAUCUGAAAAACCUCUGUGGGAGGAGUUACCUCACAACAUCUUCUAGUUUGCUUUAAUUGAAGUGUGCGAAGUCAGUGAAGCUGCCUACUCAGCACUUGAGAAUACUGUGCUCAGUGACCUUUUGAAAAAGCAAAGCCCUUCCUUUUCCUCUUAAAUGUCUUAAAAAAUAAAAGGACUUUAUUGUAAAAUCUAACAAUGAACAGCUGUCAGGCACACCGCACGUACGUUCCCUGGCUUCUUGCACCUACAGGAAAGCAAACUGGGGGAGGGCAUCAUGAGAUUGUCAGGAAGUGUGGACCACUGAAAAGGCAACUUAUAGAAUGGAAGGAAGGAAGGACACAGAAACCUUGCCAACAUAAACAUUAAAGUCCGCACAUAAACACUCCGCACACACUCCACGAGAAUGUCACUGAAAUUUCCUCUACAUUUUGUUAAUUUCCUAAUGCAUUUUCUUUUCUCAUUAAUGGAUGAAGAAUGGUAAAAUUAGCAAUGACUUUCUUUUCAGUCAUCUUCCUUCUCAUUAAGAUAUACCACUACACCAGUUGCUUAGCUGGAUGGUUGGGAUUGUACUGUUAGUAAGUAUGUCUAUGGAGAACUAAGUCCUAUUGAAUUCAAUGGGGCAUACUCUCAGGUGGUGUUAAGAUUAAACCACAAGUAGUAUUUACAGUGGUACCUCUGGAUGCAAACGGGAUCCGUUCCAGAGCCCUGUUCGCAUCCAGAAGCGAACGCAACCCAUGUCCACGCGUCUGCGCAUGCGCAGGUCGUGAUUCACUGCUUCCGUGCAUGCACGUGACAUUUUGACCGUCUGCGCAUGCACAAGUGGCAAAACCCAGAAGUAAUGUGCUCCAUUACGUCCAGGUUGCCACAGCACGCAACCUGAAAAUACUUAUCCCGAAGCUACUUCAACCUGAGGUAUGGCUGCAUUUCAAUAGCCAUUCUCACAUCAUCUUUAAACUUUACAUCAAUUCUAUUUUCAAGCGCUUGCACAGUUUCCCUACAUGAUAUAUUGUUUGAACAUAUCCCAAUUCCCAUUUCAAGAAUCUUGAUGUAGAAACAUACAGUUAGAAGGUUAGAAGGUCAUCUAGUCCAACUCCCUGCAAUGCAGAAAUUUCAUGUUUCAAGCCUAUGUUUAUGUUUUACUAUGGUUACAUAAAUGAAAGUUCCAUUACCAUCAACAGUCAUAUUCUAGCCCAGGACUGGUCCCAACAUUAGACAAACUUGAAGCAACUGCCUCAGGUGGCAGGUGCUAUGUGUUGGCAGCAAUCACAGCAGCCACCUGGCUGUCCUUCCCAAGGCCUCUGGCUGGUCCCUUGUAUUGGAAGAUAGAGCUCUCUCUGCCAUGUGGCCUGCCAUACACUCUGUGUAGCAUCUUACUCCCCUUAUGUGUGAUGGAGGAUGCGAUCCUGUCACUAGUGUUGAAUGCAGUCAGUUCAGCUUCUGUACAUGAAAUAGGAGCAUCAUCUUGCCCUUUGCCUCAGGCAGCAAAAUGUCUUGAGCUGGACUUGAUCUAGCUGAAGUCCCAUUGGGCUGGAUCCAGAGUUUCCUUGCAGAUGGAACGGCAUAGAACACCUGUGGUACAAAUUGGAGCUGUGAUGAUCUAAGAGCUUGGCAAAGAAGCUUUUCAGCAGCCACUGUAGAAACUAAUUUUAUAACGGAGCUGUUAGGAACGCAUUUUUUGACUAAUGGGGGAAAUGAGGAGUACAGAAAUUUCAAAAGCAGCUGUGGAAGUGGCAAUAUCAACAAACGGAAAGCUACACUGCAGUUGUGUAUAACAAACCUCCCCAGUGUAUUUUCUUCCUCACAGUGCCUCAAGAAUAGAGGAGUGAUAGAUAGGGGUGCUUAACCCUUCCCCUUCCAGUCACAUUCUCCCAGCUGCCUUUACCCCUGUGGGAUUCCAGGACUGUGUUUCUGUAAUGUCCUUAACUCUAGUAAGGGUCAAAGCAAUGUGAAGGGGUAACUUUCAAAGGAAAUACUAAGCUGUUUCUUCUCUGAGGCAAAUUACCCGCUCCUGAAAAUGGAUUGCCAGGGCUUCAUUAAAUGCAGCUGCUGGGUAACAUGUUGUUUGCUCAUUAGGGGAUGUGAAAACUUUUUUAAAAAAUAGGCGGGGGGAGGGCGGACGACAUUUCAAACAUUUUGAGAACUUGUAGAGGGCUGUGUAUCUGAAAUGAAUAUGUGCAAACUUGGAUGUGCUGUAUAUUUACAGUGUUCUAAUCCCAGUAGAACAGGAGGAAUUUAGAAGCAAGGUGUAUCAUUUUAAAGAGCAUUUAUUUAAAUGCAAAGAAAAUUAAUGCAGCAUCAUGUUGACUUUGAAAUAAAGCUUUCAGCAUGGAAAUGUUAACAAGCUUCCACUGAUGAGCACUGAUUAAACCUAAUCCUGAGUCGACAUAAUCCUUUGGUGUUUGGCUAGGAUUGCAUGUGAGUUUUCAUAUAAUUCCAAGCCUCCCUUGUCUUUUAUCACUGCAGCUCAUGUGGAUUGGCACUGGUCAGGUAUGUGAGAGCAAACUCACUUUGUCUUGUGGCAGGGCUUCCCUUGGGAAUACUUUAGGGGUGAAAUCCCACAUUCCCUUUUGUCUGCUACAGGGUGAUUUUCUUUAACCACGUCUUACAGUUUAAAGGAAGAAGACGAUGUUCAGGGCUGUACAAGCGAAGGAAAUCUGUGGUGAUUCUUACAGUCCUGGCAUGUUUUACAAAAGGACAACCCCUUCCUUAUCCCAGCAUCAACUGAAAAUAAGCUUGCUCACAUGAGAUAAUAAAUCGCAAUGGCAGUGGAGUAUUUAUGAGUGCUGCUUCAGCAGGCCUGGCAUUUUAUAGGAGGGCCCAUUAAGCGUUUUUGCUUUCACCAGGUUUAUAGGGUUGGCUUAUAAGGCAGCUGCAUAUGCAACAAGGGGAAUCCAACGUAACAACUGUAAAAUAAUAUAUAUAUUUAAAAGCCAAGGAGAUAUUUGCAUAGAAAAGAGAUGGGCACUAUUUAUUCCCAGUGUGUUUCGAGGAUAGCUGUUUCUCAGAAAUAUCAAUGUUUCUCAGAUUCCUCAUUACCCACAUCAGUGAGCAAACCUGACCUGGAAGUCUUUAUCCAGAGGUUCUCUGGGAGUCCCUUAUGGCUGCUGCUGUGGCUUGACAUUACUGUAUGAAGAAGCUCCUUGGCUUUAUUUGCUGCUGUCCUUUGUGCUGAACUGGAUAGUGCAGCAUACCAGUAUGUAUAAUGCCCCCCUCAAGUCCCAGGUUUAGAAUCUGCCUGCAGAUUCAAAUGCUGCCAACUUGACAGAUACCCAACCUGUGCUGACAGGAUGGCUGCAAUGUUAAUUUCGUCGUCUAAAGCUGUAGUAUAUUAAAGGAGGAAGUAGUCGUAGUCUACAAAAGAUGCAGUUUUGCCCCAUUCAUCUGACUUGUUUUGUUUUGUUUUUUGUCUUUCAUAAGCCAACUAUCCUAAUGCAUGUCUCUCAUCUGCUUUCCUUGAGGCACUGUUUUUGUUUAUCCCCAUUGCUUCAGCCAUAUAAGCCCUUGCCAUCGUGCCUUUGGUGGUUGUUGUUAAAAAUGUGCACUGCCUCUAUGUAAUCUCUUUUUCCUCUCUCUGUUUCUUAAGAUUUCCUCCUAGUUACCUUGCAGAGCAAGAAAGAAAAAGUGGCUAGGCUGUGUGAUUGCACAAUAAUAAGCAACCAGGAAGAUUUUCAAAAAACAACAUCACCCAUGAGUGUCCUUGAAAGUCAGGAUGAGACAGGCACCUAAGGAAACUUUUUGCCUUUGAACAUUUAUUCCAGAUUUCCCAGAAAACAGCAAGCUAGUCUUUGCAUAGAAAAUCUGGGAGUGGGGGUGGGUGGGUUUCAAGUUCAUAAACCUAAAGGCAAUGAGCCUGAUUGAAAAGGCAAAUUUGUCAUUCAAAUCUUUAGCAGAAGAUACUUCAUGAGCCAGAAUACUAAUCGGGCCAUCUGAACAUGUGCAUGACAGGCUGCCACCCAGACUAAUGGAAGUGAGCUUCUUUUGCCUUUGUUUCUGGUUGAAUAGUUUGGCCUUGGCUGGUUUUUAUUCACUAAAGUAUCCAUAAUCACCUGCCACGCUUUCUUUGUUAAUGAUCACUCACUAUUCAAUUAACCAUCCAUUAAACCACAAGUCUUCAAUACCUUCAUUCUUGCACAGGAGCUUUUAACCUUCUGCGUCUCCAUAAUAGCAGAGCCUGCUAUUGCGUUGAUUUCAGCUAAGUAAAUCAUAUGAGGAAGUACAAGUUAAUAAACCUCUGAAAGGAUUGAUUUGUGAAAGAGUAAUCUAUCAAGGGCAUACAUUGUUCGCACUUGUCAAAAGGAGAAUCGCAUGGAGCGGAUGUUUCGUGUUCUGUUUAUUUUUAAUUUCCUAUAGCACCUUUCCUGCUAAAGUGGUAUGCAAAGUGGUAUACAUCAUUAAGACAACAGCCACAGUGGGUUAGAAGCCCAAAUAAAACCAAAAGAAGUCCACCAUAUAAGAUUAUGAAAUGUCAGAAGGAAAGUAAAUUGCUAUUGGUUUAUAUAUAUUAGUAAUUUCUUAUUGAUAUAACAUUUUUUAUAUGUAACUGUAUUUUUGUAAUACAGUGGUACCUUGGUUGUCAAACUUUAUCUGUUUCGGGAGUCUGAUUGACUCCUGGAACCAUUCCAAAACCAAGACACAGCUUCCUAUUGGCUUCAGGAGCUUCCUGCACUCAACUGGAAGCCGCAGAAGCCGCGUUGGGUGUUCAGCUUCCCAAAAACGUUCGCAAACCGGAACACUCACUUCCGGGUUUGUGGCCUUCGGGAGCCGAUUUGUUCGGAAGCAAAGCCAUUCGACAACCAAGAUACCACUGUAUUUGGUUUUAAGUUGUCUGUUAUUGCUUCAGAUUUCUGUGCACCCCUUAGAUAUAUUUCUAAUAUAUUAAGUGGUUUAGAAAUUAAAUAAACAAAAAUCAAAGCAAAUUCUGAGGGUUUAUGGUUGCCGAAGGUUGUAUAGAAAAUAAUGUUUUCCCAUCAGCUCCUGAAGUUGCAGUGGCUUUUGGGGAUUGGGGACACCUUAUUUCCCAGCCUAGUGCAUUGCAAUACAGUCCACAAGACCUCAGAGGACACACUCCUUCUCUCAACCAGGCACCAAAAGUUGCUGCCUAUUGAUCCUUCUAAUGUUAAGAAAGGCAACUUCAGGAGGUCUUAACCUUGGAGGUGGAGGGAAGUCUGGCAGGCAGGCAGGCUUGCAGUUUGGUACUACCACCAGAUCUUACCAAACAAGGGAGCUACAGUGUAACUAUCCAGACCUGCAAGGAAGCAUCUUGAACAGAUGUUCCUCUUGACAGUCAAGUGGGGUCAUUCCUGACUCCUACAAUAAGCUUCCAGAUCAGAGUUGUCUGAUCUGAGCAACAGGGGAGAUUAGAUUGCAUGUCCUUUUUGUCUUGCUUCUCUUCCAAUAUUUUGCUCCCUCUCUCUGAUGUGGCAAAAGCUGAGCCUGAUAACCUUGGGAAUGAAAUCCAAAACUCUGGUGCCUCCACUGAAAGGGUUGUGUUCCAGGAAGUCACUGGUAAAUUUUCCCAUAAGGUGGAAUUUAGAGCAGAACUUCAUCUGAAAAUCUAAAUGGAUGGAGAAUGGCAUACAGUUAAAACGAAACUCUUUAACAUAUACUCAACCUAGGAAUGAAGGACUGUUCGUUAUAUCUGGCACAUUGAAUCAUGCUUAGAAGUCAGCUGGAAUCUGGAAUAGAUAUAAGAUGCUCCACAUGCCCGGCGCCAAACAGAAGGCAUGCAAUGACAUUCUACAUCAGCUGCAGUUUUUGCAAUGUCUUGAAGGGCAGCUAUCACAAAAAGCAUAUUGUACUAAUUAGUUUGUGAGGUUACCACUGAGAGUAGCAAUUUUGCACUCUUCCACAAUAGCACACAGUCAGUGAGGACCUAAUGAAAAGUAGUCACAAUUGCCAAAUGGUUUACAUUUAUUCAGUGCAGCUACAUUAUGAGGCAUAUUGCAAAAGUUCUCAUAUGUUGUUAAGAGUUAUACGUCCACAGAGAAGGCCCUCUAUCUUGUCUACACUGUAGAACCUAACUGGAAUUAUAGUAUAGGGACAGUACUAUUUCUGUGGCUUAGUAUGUCAUCCGCAUAGUUUUAUCAAGGUUUUAGAUGGUUUUCCACAGCUCCAUAGGGCACUCAAUGUAUUAUAGCCAGCAGAAAUAUGUAAUAAAUCCCUCCCACCCCACCAGUAUGCCUAGAGGUGCGAUAAACUUUAUUGGAUGGAGAAGAUAAAAAUCCCCUCCCCUGUUAUAACAGAUGUAUGGACAAAAGCAUAAAGCAAUCAGGUGCUCCAACGACUUCUUUUUUUUACUGAGCGGGCAAACUUAGGAAAGUAGGGAGGGGGGAGGCGGAUGGACAGACAGGACAAUCAAUCCAGUAUUCUGGCUCAAAGAGCUUUUUACCAAGAACACAGGCAAGCGCAUCACAAUCCAUCCCUAGAAGAACUGAGCAUGUAAGUGGUACAGUAAUGUAACUUGCAAGAUUAAGGGGCAGCAUAAUGACUUAUCUACCUACUCAUUACCCAGUAAGGAAUUAGAUCAAGGCUAAGAAACCAACUCUUCUCAGAUCUACCUCUGUCUUACUGCAGCUUUCAAGGCAUUAGAAUUGUGUAACUGUGUUUGGGGAAGCAGUGGCAAAAUGGCUGCUCUUAUUUGUACAUGUGCUGCAAGUUCUACUUGACUCUUUUAAAUUUGGGCAGAAAUGUUACAGGGGAGGUGGGCCUGUCAGAUACAUAAGCAGAAGAUCUGAGCUGAGCUCCAUUACUGAGACACAGUCUAGGGCUGAUAACUGCCAAAUCCAAUUGUAAUGUUGAUCAAAAGCAUUUUGGGAAUGUUUCAGCUUAAUCACAGAUUUAGCGGUGGGGGCUGGCUAGCACAUAUCGGAGUAUCUGGAUGGCUUGAUUUCAAUAGACGUAGAUUAAUCCAUACCAAUUUAUAAAACGAAAACAAAGCCUGAAAGCUUAGCUUUUUGGCUUUAGCGGGCCACUUCCCCCAAAAUGCUAUCAUUUGGUCAGGAAAAAUGCCAAAGUUAAUAAAGAGGUUGGGGUCGAUAAGACCCUCAUAUAUUCAUGCUGAAUGUUGGCUUUUCUCAGAUAAUCUGCACCUGUUUGAUGUAUUAAAGCAUCCCAAUAUACACUGUGAAGAAUAAUGGCAAGCUUAAAAUUAUACAAGAAACACUGGAAAUUGUUAAGAAUAUCCCACCAUAUGGACAGAAAUCUCGAUGAAGUGUUGCCUUUUGUUUCCAAAUAACGAAAAAAAUGAAUCAAAUGUGCAAAAAAUAUUUCAGAGAAAUAUUUAUUGGAGAGGUGUGAUUAACUUGUUUGCAGCAUCUGCCUUUUCUCUCACUCUCUCAAUAACCUAGAUUUUUGUUUCUACUCUUUUAAUUAAUGAGGUCGAAGUGGCUAAAAACCAAAGUCAAUUCAUAUUAUGGCAAAGUUCUUGUAUUAAUGUGUUGUUUUAUUUGCAUAAUGAAUACAAGUGCCUUUAGAAAGCAUGUUUUAACCUUGCUGUUUUAGUUUCAACAAAAUAAUUUGUGACACUGUCCAUUAUCAUUAACCAAAAAUUGUAAACAUGGAUAUGCUAAAAGGUCAUUUGGAAGUGAUUGAUCUAAAAAUGAGAAAGCCAAAGGAGGUUACAUAACUCUGGCCAAUGUGAGCUGCUAAAGGAGAGCUACAAUUACAAGCCUCAUUUAUUUCAUAUAGUAAACUAUUCUGAAAAUAAGUUAGACCAUCAAAAUUGGGAUUUGCCAUGGGCCAAAUGUUCAGUACUUCUCAGUUGUCUUUUGGACACAAAGACGAAUAAGCUAGAUAAAUGACGAGAAUGCUGCUUGCUUUGAUAGUCCUUGAGAAUGGACCAAGGCUGAGAUCCCACAGAGUUGUACAUCCAUAAAUUGUAUGGAAAACAGUGGGAUGCAUGUAGCUUUGUGCAGGAUUCUGGCCAUGGUGGGAUGAGGUUUGCUUUGCAUUGAGGAAUGAGCUCCGAAGUGUUAAGGAAAGGCUGAAUUUUGGUCCUACAGCCGGUCUGUGUGUUUUGUUUAGCUCAUCUUGAUGUUUUUGUAAUCUUUGUCUUCAGCUAUGUGAGCUGCUCUGUGGCUAUUGAGACAGUAUGGUGGAAAAGAGGCAUAGAAAUUAAACAAUUUAAUUAACAUAUAGUGUCCUUUUAUUGUGACUAUCUCCGCUGCAUGUACCCCUAUCGAGAUCUGUUAACUAGGGCUGACUUUGCACAGUGAGUGAGUUGAGGCUUGGUUAGCUCUGUUCAUAAUUUGUCUUACAUAGAAGGGAGAGUAGGUUCACACUCACAGAACCCAUAAAUUUGGAGGAUUGUCUGAAAGAGCCUAAACACACAGAAAUUGUAUGCAUGUAUACAUGCAUGCAGGAGAACCUGACUGUGUGGAUAGAGCUCGUGGACAGUUUGUACAUAUCCUAUCACUCUUCCCAAUCUGAUUGUUGGAGGUGGAAAUGGGAGAGAUAUCUAGUGGUAUGGAGUUCCUCUUUGCUGGCCAUCUGGAGGCUCCAGCCUUAACCCAGUGGACAGAAAUCUUACGCUGGCAAUUCUCUUUGUCCCCAGAUGGAGCAUUUCAGAGGAGGGCGGUGCACUGGUAGCUUUGGAUCUGCUGGAUCCAGAUUCAUGAAGGGGUGAGCCUAUCUACUGUGCCAGCCCUGGGACCUGGCAAUUGCACCUACACAAGCCAGCAAGGCCUGGGAUGUGAUGGAAGAU